UAGCGUAGGGGGCAAGCGUUGUCCGGAUUUAUUGGGCGUAAAGAGCGUGUAGGCGGCCAGGUAGGUCCGCUGUGAAAACUCGAGGCUCAACCUCGAGAUGUCGGCGGAAACCAUCUGGCUAGAGUCCGGAAGAGGAGAGUGGAAUUCCUGGUGUAGCGGUGAAAUGCGCAGAUAUCAGGAAGAACACCCGUGGCGAAGGCGGCUCUCUGGGACGGUACUGACGCUGAGACGCGAAAGCGUGGGGAGCGAACAGG
rnacentral:rRNA from 1 species